AUCAAUCUAAAUGGGAGUAAAAGAAGACACUCUUGCUACUUACCCAUCUCAUACCUGAAUUUUGGAAGAAGAAAUAAUCCUUCUGGUUUCUAUAAUUCUUCUGUUAAAGUACAUGAAAGGUCCCUAUAUUGUAGGGACUAGAUUAAAUUAAUCAUUCUAUUAUUAAAUGGAUCAAUUUAAUUUCUAUACCAUUAAAAAGAAUAACAAAUCCAAAUUGUAGCAGAGUUAGCAGUUAACAUAUAAAAAAUGUCUUAAAUAUGACUUUUUUUCAAUUCCAACUCAAUUUCGAACAAAAGAUUUUAUUUACAAAAACAUAAAAACUUCCAAUUUGGCCUUAUUUGAUUCUUUUUAAUAUUACAUAGAUUAAAUUGAUCUAUUUAAUAAUAGAGAGACUAAUUUGAUCAGAUCCUUAUAAUAGAGGGACCUCUCAAGUGCAUUCAUCAUAAUUCUUCUAUUUGAUGAAUGGCAAAGAGUGUGAAGAAAUAAAAUCUAGUUAAAGAGAAUAUAAUCAUCAUUGUUGAAAAAAAUGGAAAUGUAAAAACAAGGUUAGGAAACGGUUUUUCGAGUACGAAACCUGAACUAUCUGCUUGCAAGAAAUGAUGUUGAGAUGUCAUGGUUGCAUGGACCGGAUGGAGACAUCAGUACCUGGGGUUGGCCGCGGAGGUUUUAGGCUGGGUGGCUUUGCUUGGUAGUUGGCAUCCAGAUAACUGAUGAGCCCACAUAGUUGAGAACUGCCAAAGAACAUCUAUUGUUUUUUAUGGUAUAAAAGCGCUCAAAAUUUGGCAGGUAGAACUAGCUGCCUGGAUAUAUGCUAAUCUAAUCGUACUUUUAGGCACUUCUCUUUCAAAUUAUUCAAGCAAUUCAUGUCCAAGAAUUCGUACCAUUAUUGAGUUUUCUCAGAUGUAGAUAUAAUCAACUGAGCAUGGUUUCAAAAGUAUGAAACUGGCUAUGAAACUAGAGAAAUCAAUAAACCAUAGACAAUGUUAAACAGCUGCCUAUAUGUAUCAAUGCUCUCACCAUUAGAAGCAUUUAUGCAUAUUCAGUUUUGGCAUCCAAUAUAACAAGUAUAUGCAAUCUGAUCAAAUGGAUAAUGUCAAGGAAACCUUUAAGGAUAUAACAAAUAGCUACAGGGAAAUAGGACACAAUGGGCUAUGAAAUGAAGGCAAAAUAGCCAAGACAAGGACCUGAUGAAAGCUUUCCACCUUAUGGCAUAAACAAAAGUACCCUAUUCUCUAACAGGUUUAAAUGUUCUUCCGACAAAUCUUAUUACAUUUAUGAGAGAUUAAUGCAAAUAUGACAAACUCCUACCAGUUAUUGAUGACCCCCCUAGUCUACAACAUCAUGGACCCCAAAAAAGAAUCAUUCAACAAUUAAUUAUCCUAGCAACAAGGAAAAUCCAGUCUCUCCAUAUAACCUACUAGAGGUCAUAUCUGUACAGAUAUCAUAACAAUACCUUGUUGGUCCUACAUUCUCUCUCUCCAGUUAGUAUGAAAAUACAAUUGACGUAACAAUAUCAGAUAAUAUAGAUGUAACAUCAGAUCUCACAGAUGGUAAUACUUGCGAACUCAGUCAAUGAGAAGAAUUCACAGUAGAGAUUGUAGGGAGGUAAAGACAGGAUAGAAGCAUGAUCUUUUAACUUCUUAUCCCACAGCUUCAAUUAAAUCAAAUGUCAGAUACAAUUGUCACAGCUUGUCACCCCAAAUCUUAUUUACUGGUGUAAGCAUCAUGUUUAGAUGAAUAAAUCCAGUCCCACAACAGGAUUAAUGGCUAGAGCAAAUGAUCAUGUAACUCAAUUCAACUGAUUUUUACAAUCAUGUGCUAAAUUUCAUCAACCUAAAACUCUAGGCCAUAAGACAGAUCAGCCAAGUUAGUAUGAGACCAUAUAAAGGACUUUCUCUCUCUACAUAGAUUUGCAAGCAAAGAAUUGUGUUUUUCCUUAGAGAUUCUUGCUACACCAAGAUCAAAGAUAAAUUUGAAACUAGUUUUAACCCUUCUAAUCUUUUAAGAUUCCAUUAGCUUGCAGCUGCACUAGUGUCAUAAACCUCAACAUUCGCCAUUUCAAUCUUACAAUUUGAUAUUAAUUCGUUAACCCAAUUGAUUCAAAUCAAAUGCAAGUGACUGAUUUAUAAACUAGACAUCAAUAAGUUGGUCAUCACAAGGAUCACUAUAGUUAAAAUUAACAAAAUAAACUAGAAUGUGAUACGGACGCUUUUAUUGCAAUAGGAAUUCUAGUUUUAUUUAUUUAUUAUAUCAGGUUUUAUUAAGAGUUUUAGUUUUACUUAUUUUCUCUAUUAUAUUAGGUUUUUAUUUCCUUCACAAACUCUAGGUUAGGAAUUCUAUUAGGACUCUUUUAUUUGUUAUUAACAGUCUAUAAAAGGCUGUCAAUAUGAAAUAAAGAGGCAAGCAAUUAUUCUAUAAAAAAGAAACGUUAUUUUGAGAGGGGGUUCAGGACAAAUCUGCCUUUUGAGUAACCAUAGGUCGAAGCAAGAAGUCUUUCUCGUCUAGGCCUGUGACUAGAUCCUACGCCAAUGUGCAUAACAGAAUGCUUCUUUUCCUUAAAUUUUCUUUUAAACAGUUCACAUUCUUAAAAUUUUAUAAUGAGAGAGGUCUUGUACUUUAUUUGUUUGGCUAUUGUCAAAAAUUUAUUAAGCAGUUACAAGUAUUUGAUCAUAGAUAUAUUUAACAUAUGUCUGCAUGCAAGAAAGAAUUAGCUAGAAAAAGUUCAAAUAAUGCCUUCAAAAGUGCAACCCUGAUCCUUAACAGCAAGACCAUGAAUUAAAAUUACCAAGCUUCUACUACCGAGAUCACUUAACAAGCUCCAGGAAUGCUAUUAAAUCCAAAAGCUUUUUCUUACCCAGGCAAACAUGAAAGAGCUUAAUAGCCUCAAAACCUUGUGGUUAAGACUUCUUUUUUCCAGCCUAAUAAAUCCUUGUUUCUAAGAUAUGAAGCAUCCAAGAAAGUCCUACAAGACAAGGUGAAAUAAGAUUAACAUUUAUUUAUAGAUAUAAACUUCUAUGAAGAACAUAAAACUGAAUAUUUAUCUGACAAAUAGUGUCAAAUCUUAACCAAGUUAAAAUAGGUGCAGUAUAAGCUGCGCCCGCUUGAAGAAAACUUCAAUUCAGGAAAAGUUCUUAAUAAGAGCAUAAAUCGAUAGAUGUAUUUUUGUUUCCGAAUGAAAAUAUUCGCAUCAUGUUCGAGAAGAAAAUUUUAAAAUGAUACUAACUACUAAUAAUAUUUUAAUCAGUCAUAAAACCCAGAAUGAUGCUUAACCUAUGAAAGAAAAGAUACUUAACUAGAACCAUCUCAAACUACUUUUAAAAGUUUCCAACUACAAAUAUGUGCUCCAUGUUGAUUUCAUGUGUCAACUCAAGCAAUGCCUGCAAGGCACCAAACUCAGCUACAAGCUGCUUCAAAGAAUAUCUUUCAUUCUAAAGAAGGACAAGUAGAAAUCUGAACCUGAUGGGCCUAAAAGCACAUCCACAACGAGUUCUCAAUGAAGCUUCAGGAGGUGGUUUGCUGCUAAUGCCAGAGCAUUUUGUCCAGCUAAAUGUAGCAUAUAUAUGUAGGAUGCAAGAGUAAAACUAGAAACAAACUGAAGCAUGGUGAGAAGCUGGGUAA
rnacentral:lncRNA from 1 species